CUGAACCAGCCAAGUAGCGUGAAGGAUGACUGCCCUAUGGGUUGUAAACUUCUUUUAUACGGGAAUAAAGUUAGGCACGUGUGCCUUUUUGUAUGUACCGUAUGAAUAAGGAUCGGCUAACUCCGUGCCAGCAGCCGCGGUAAUACGGAGGAUCCGAGCGUUAUCCGGAUUUAUUGGGUUUAAAGGGAGCGUAGAUGGGUUGUUAAGUCAGUUGUGAAAGUUUGCGG
rnacentral:rRNA from 1 species